rnacentral:rRNA from 1 species
GAACCGUACAAACGUUAUUCGGAAUUACUGGGCUUAAAGGGUGCGUAGGCGGCUUGGCAAGUUGGGUGUGAAAUCCCUCGGCUCAACCGAGGAACGGCGCCCAAAACUGCCAGACUUGAGGGAGACAGAGGUGAGUGGAACUUAGGGUGGAGCGGUGAAAUGCGUUGAUAUCCUAAGGAACACCAGUGGCGAAAGCGACUCACUGGGUCUCUUCUGACGCUGAGGCACGAAAGCUAGGGUAGCGAACGGGAUUAGAUACCCCGGGUAGUCCUAGCUGUAAACGAUGAGCACUGGGUCGGAGAGCCCCUCCCAUAGCUUUCCGGCCGAAGCGAAAGUGUUAAGUGCUCCGCCUGGGGAGUAUGGUCGCAAGGCUG